rnacentral:rRNA from 1 species
AGUGAACGCUGGCGGUAGGCCUAACACAUGCAAGUCGAACGGCAGCACAGUAAGAGCUUGCUCUUACGGGUGGCGAGUGGCGGACGGGUGAGGAAUACAUCGGAAUCUACUUUUUCGUGGGGGAUAACGUAGGGAAACUUACGCUAAUACCGCAUACGACCUACGGGUGAAAGCAGGGGAUCUUCGGACCUUGCGCGAUUGAAUGAGCCGAUGUCGGAUUAGCUAGUUGGCGGGGUAAAGGCCCACCAAGGCGACGAUCCAUAGCUGGUCUGAGAGGAUGAUCAGCCACACUGGAACUGAGACACGGUCCAGACUCCUACGGGAGGCAGCAGUGGGGAAUAUUGGACAAUGGGCGCAAGCCUGAUCCAGCCAUACCGCGUGGGUGAAGAAGGCCUUCGGGUUGUAAAGCCCUUUUGUUGGGAAAGAAAAACAGCAGGUUAAUACCCCGCUGUUCUGACGGUACCCAAAGAAUAAGCACCGGCUAACUUCGUG